GGAGUUGUUAAGAGAUCCCUGUUCCCCUCACAGACCUACAAUUCCCAGAGUUCCCUAGGAUGAGGAAUUGACUGUUCAACCACUCUGUGAAAUGUAGAUCUGUGAGGGGAAAGGGGGUCUCCUAACAGUUCU